GUAAAUCUCAGCACUUUGGGAGGCCGAGGCGGGCGGAUCACCUGAGGUCAGGAGUUCGAGACCAUCCUGACCAAAAUGGAGAAACCCCGUCUCUACUAAAUAUACAAAAAUUAGCCGGCGUGGUGGCGCAUGCCUGUACUCCCAGUUACUCGGGAGGCUGAAGCCGGAGAAUUGCUUGAACCCGGGAGGCAGAGGUUGCGGUGAGCCGAGAUCGCGCCAUUGCACUGCAGCCUGGGCAACAAGAGCGAAACUCCAUCUCAAAAAACAUAAAAUCUGGGCAUAGGAACCAAUCAGAAACAAUCGCUUCAGCAAUCAAGACCAUUGUUCAUCAUGGAGGAACCCAUGGAUACCUCUGAGCCUCUAUCUGCAUUACCAUUCACUGGGCAGCAGUCUUUUGAGCCAAGUGGCAAAUUUGGACAGUAUCCAUCGAUGCAGAUGAACCACAUCCAGGCACUGGGGAAGUGGAGGACAUAGAACAGCUCAAUCAGUGUUUGAUCCAACACUUCCAUCUCAUUAAGACAAGUUUGAUUUUUCUUUGCUUUUUAUUUCAUGGAAUACAUGAGAAUCUCUUAACUGUUGGAGUUUCCAAGGAGGCAUACCUCAUGACUUCAGUUAAUGGAAAGAACAAAACUAAAAUGCUGUAUGGCCAAAGCCACAAAGGGAAGGAUCCACAAUUUACAUUCUUGGAGCUAUCAUCUGUACUGUACUGUUGUGAUCUACUGAUUGGCAUUGGCAUAGUAGUAGGGGUCAAGUGACAGAAUCCGUGCCAGCAGUCUCCAGGUUCAGAAGCAAUUCAAGACCCUGAUGAUAGCUCUCCAGCAACCAACACAUGGUGAUUGUGCCAACUUGUUGCUCAGUUAUAAUGCAGGGCCAGUGAUUGGUUUAAGUGAAGACCAUGGUUGAGAUCAUUUGUCUUUGGUCUAAUAGAAUUUGAGUCUAGUAGAAUUUGAGUCUCCAGGGAAAGAGCUACUUGACCAAAUUAAACUAGUAGCAGGUAGAGCAUGAAUGACAGCAUAUUAUACCAUCAAGAUGUUCUUAGAGCAGUGUAUGGAUGGAUCGAUUGUACUGCCAUCAGUUGUGACUGACGUUGUAUUCAAGGAGAAAGAGAAACUUGUUUAGAAAGCACUUUGAAAGUUUUUUGAGUACGGGGGUGCCCUGUAUCACCCCGUUAUGGUUGAACUUUCUCCUUCAAAAUUACCAGACUUGGCAGCAGUGGCAAAUUAUUGGGCUAAAAGACUUAAUCAGACAUAUUCUGGGUUCAAGGCUCCUAAUAUAAUACCUGGUGCAAACAUUAUACUUCCACUCAUUCAGAUGGUUGCAUCCUGCCAGGCAUCCAGUGGGACUGGGAAUAUGGACACUUGAACAUUAAACAUCCUGAAGAAUUUUGGAAUGACAGGUUACAAGUGAACAUAAUCAGUUCUCUAUAUUAAAAAAAAAAAAAGAUUUGGGCAUAGAUUGGGCUCACAUAAUCUUUAGAGAGAUUUUUUCAUUUUUGUGAAAGUACAGAAAUUCUUAACUGCUUAUGAAAUGCUGAUUGUUAAACAGCAUCCACAGCUAUUUUGUGUUGUUUCCCUGACCCCACCCUGAAGAAAAGAAAAA
ensembl:lncRNA EBLN3P endogenous Bornavirus like nucleoprotein 3, pseudogene